rnacentral:rRNA from 1 species
ACGGGAGGCAGCAGUGGGGAAUAUUGGGCAAUGGGCGCAAGCCUGACCCAGCAACGCCGCGUGAAGGAAGAAGGUUUUCGGAUUGUAAACUUCUGUCCUAAGUGACGAAGGAAGUGACGGUAGCUUAGGAGGAAGCCCCGGCUAACUACGUGCCAGCAGCCGCGGUAAUACGUAGGGGGCAAGCGUUAUCCGGAUUUACUGGGUGUAAAGGGAGCGUAGACGGCAUGGCAAGUCUGAAGUGAAAUCCCGGGGCUCAACCCUGGAACUGCUUUGGAAACUGUCAAGCUAGAGUGCAGGAGAGGUAAGCGGAAUUCCUAGUGUAGCGGUGAAAUGCGUAGAUAUUAGGAGGAACACCAGUGGCGAAGGCGGCUUACUGGACUGUAACUGACGUUGAGGCUCGAAAGCGUGGGGAGCAAACAGGAUUAGAUACCCUGGUA